AGCAGCCGCGGUAAUUCCAGCUCCAAUAGCGUAUAUUAAAGUUGUUGCAGUUAAAAAGCUCGUAGUUGAAUUUCGGGAUCAAUAUAUCGGUCGUGCCAUUGGUACGUACUGGUAUCAUUGGUUUCUCCUUUCUGACGAACCAUGAUGUCAUUAAUUUGGUGUUAUGGGAAGUUAGGACUGUUACUUUGAAAAAAUUAGAGUGUUUAAAGCAGGCUUUAGCUUGAAUACAUUAGCAUGGAAUAAUGAAAUAGGACGUUCGAACCUAUUUUGUUGGUUUCUAGGAUCAACGUAAUGAUUAAUAGGGAUAGUUGGGGGCAUUAGUAUUCAAUUGUCAGAGGUGAAAUUCUUGGAUUUAUUGAAGACUAACUACUGCGAAAGCAUUUGACAAGGAUGUUUUCAUUAAUCAAGAACGAAAGUUAGGGGAUCGAAGACGAUCAGAUACCCGUCGUAGUCUUAACCAUAAACUAUGCCGACUAGGGAUCGGAUGAUGUUAAUUUUUAAUGACUCAUUCGGCGCCUUA
rnacentral:rRNA from 1 species